GCCAGCAUGGUGCAGUGGUUUGAGUGUUAGACUAUGACUCUGGAGACUGGGGUUCAAUUUCCAGCUUGGCC